GCCCAGGUGGCGAAAUUGGUAGACGCGCUGGCUUCAGGUGCCAGUCUUAGCAAUGAGGUGAAGGUUCGAGUCCUUUCCUGGGCACCA
rnacentral:tRNA from 1 species